rnacentral:rRNA from 1 species
GACGGAGGGGGCAAGCGUUGCUCGGAAUGACUGGGCGUAAAGGGUGCGUAGGCGGUUUUUUAAGUGAGGUGUUAAAUAUUCGGGCUCAACCUGAAGAGUGCAUCUCAUACUGAAAAGCUUGAGUGUGAAAGAGGAAACGGGAAUUCCUCAUGUAGAGGUGAAAUUCGUAGAUAUGAGGAGGAACACCAGAGGCGAAGGCGAGUUUCUGGGUCACAACUGACGCUGAGGCACUAAAGCGUGGGGAGCAAACAGG